AACGAACGCUGGCGGCAGGCCUAACACAUGCCAGUCGAGCGAGAUCUUCGGGUCUAGCGGCGGACGGGUGAGUAACGCGUGGGAAUAUGCCCUUCUCUGCGGAAUAGCCUCGGGAAACUGAGCGUAAUACCGCAUACGCCCUUUGGGGGAAAGAUUUAUCGGAGAAGGAUUAGCCCGCGUUGGAUUAGGUAGUUGGUGGGGUAACGGCCUACCAAGCCGACGAUCCAUAGCUGGUUUGAGAGGAUGAUCAGCCACACUGGGACUGAGACACGGCCCAGACUCCUACGGGAGGCAGCAGUGGGGAAUCUUAGACAAUGGGGGCAACCCUGAUCGAGCCAUGCCGCGUGAGUGAUGAAGGCCUUAGGGUUGUAAAGCUCUUUCAGCUGGGAAGAUAAUGACGGUACCAGCAGAAGAAGCCCCGGCUAACUCCGUG
rnacentral:rRNA from 1 species